AUGCACCUGCAAAACCUUCUUUCUAGAAGGAUAAUACAUGUGUGUUCCAGUGCUAUGAGACUUCAAUGGGAAAAAAAAAAAAUCCUACAUAAAGCCCCUCUAACGCUCAGGAGACUUAUUACUAGCAUCCUUAUCAAGUCUAACCUCAGCAAUGGGCCAUGCAAGAAAGUAACUGAAGGAAGAGCUAUACCGUCUCCAGUGGAAGAGCAGAGAAGAAAGAUCCUCCUUGCAGUUGCUAGCUGUCCUUAG
rnacentral:lncRNA from 1 species